AAGAUUUUAAGUUAACAUUAAACUAGUAAUCUUCAAAAUUACUUAUAAAGAAUCUUUCUUUAAGUCUUA
rnacentral:tRNA from 1 species